rnacentral:rRNA from 1 species
CGGGACACGUGGUAUCCUGUCUGAAUAUGGGGGGACCAUCCUCCAAGGCUAAAUACUCCUGACUGACCGAUAGUGAACCAGUACCGUGAGGGAAAGGCGAAAAGAACCCCGGCGAGGGGAGUGAAAAAGAACCUGAAACCGUGUACGUACAAGCAGUGGGAGCACGCUUAGGCGUGUGACUGCGUACCUUUUGUAUAAUGGGUCAGCGACUUAUAUUCUGUAGCAAGGUUAACCGAAUAGGGGAGCCGAAGGGAAACCGAGUCUUAACUGGGCGUUAAGUUGCAGGGUAUAGACCCGAAACCCGGUGAUCUAGCCAUGGGCAGGUUGAAGGUUGGGUAACACUAACUGGAGGACCGAACCGACUAAUGUUGAAAAAUUAGCGGAUGACUUGUGGCUGGGGGUGAAAGGCCAAUCAAACCGGGAGAUAGCUGGUUCUCCCCGAAAGCUAUUUAGGUAGCGCCUCGUGAAUUCAUCUCCGGGGGUAGAGCACUGUUUCGGCAAGGGGGUCAUCCCGACUUACCAACCCGAUGCAAACUGCGAAUACCGGAGAAUGUUAUCACGGGAGACACACGGCGGGUGCUAACGUCCGUCGUGAAGAGGGAAACAACCCAGACCGCCAGCUAAGGUCCCAAAGUCAUGGUUAAGUGGGAAACGAUGUGGGAAGGCCCAGACAGCCAGGAUGUUGGCUUAGAAGCAGCCAUCAUUUAAAGAAAGCGUAAUAGCUCACUGGUCGAGUCGGCCUGCGCGGAAGAUGUAACGGGGCUAAACCAUGCACCGAAGCUGCGGCAGCGACGCUGAUGCGUUGUUGGGUAGGGGAGCGUUCUGUAAGCCUGUGAAGGUGUGCUGUGAGGCAUGCUGGAGGUAUCAGAAGUGCGAAUGCUGACAUAAGUAACGAUAAAGCGGGUGAAAAGCCCGCUCGCCGGAAGACCAAGGGUUCCUGUCCAACGUUAAUCGGGGCAGGGUGAGUCGACCCCUAAGGCGAGGCCGAAAGGCGUAGUCGAUGGGAAACAGGUUAAUAUUCCUGUACUUGGUGUUACUGCGAAGGGGGGACGGAGAAGGCUAUGUUGGCCGGGCGACGGUUGUCCCGGUUUAAGCGUGUAGGCUGGUUUUCCAGGCAAAUCCGGAAAAUCAAGGCUGAGGCGUGAUGACGAGGCACUACGGUGCUGAAGCAACAAAUGCCCUGCUUCCAGGAAAAGCCUCUAAGCAUCAGGUAACAUCAAAUCGUACCCCAAACCGACACAGGUGGUCAGGUAGAGAAUACCAAGGCGCUUGAGAGAACUCGGGUGAAGGAACUAGGCAAAAUGGUGCCGUAACUUCGGGAGAAGGCACGCUGAUAUGUAGGUGAAGCGACUUGCUCGUGGAGCUGAAAUCAGUCGAAGAUACCAGCUGGCUGCAACUGUUUAUUAAAAACACAGCACUGUGCAAACACGAAAGUGGACGUAUACGGUGUGACGCCUGCCCGGUGCCGGAAGGUUAAUUGAUGGGGUCAGCGCAAGCGAAGCUCUUGAUCGAAGCCCCGGUAAACGGCGGCCGUAACUAUAACGGUCCUAAGGUAGCGAAAUUCCUUGUCGGGUAAGUUCCGACCUGCACGAAUGGCGUAA